rnacentral:tRNA from 1 species
GGCACUAUAGCUCAGUUGGUUAGAGCGCGCCUCUCAUAAGGGCGAGGUCGGUGGUUCAAAUCUACCUAGUGCCA